CCUACGGGAGGCAGCAGUGGGGAAUCUUGCGCAAUGGGCGAAAGCCUGACGCAGCCAUGCCGCGUGAAUGAUGAAGGUCUUAGGAUUGUAAAAUUCUUUCACCGGGGACGAUAAUGACGGUACCCGGAGAAGAAGCCCCGGCUAACUUCGUGCCAGCAGCCGCGGUAAUACGAAGGGGGCUAGCGUUGCUCGGAAUUACUGGGCGUAAGGGAGCGUAGGCGGAUAGUUUAGUCAGAGGUGAAAGCCCAGGGCUCAACCUUGGAAUUGCCCUUGAUACUGGCUAUCUUGAGUACGGAAGAGGUAUGUGGAACUCCGAGUGUAGAGGUGAAAUUCGUAGAUAUUCGGAAGAACACCAGUGGCGAAGGCGACAUACUGGUCCGUUACUGACGCUGAGGCUCGAAAGCGUGGGGAGCAAACAGGAUUAGAUACCCUGGUAGUCCACGCUGUAAACGAUGAGUGCUAGUUGUCGGCAUGCAUGCAUGUCGGUGACGCAGCUAACGCAUUAAGCACUCCGCCUGGGGAGUACGGUCGCAAGAUUAAAACUCAAAAGAGUAGUACGCGUGAGAGUCGCGACGAGACCACGACGGGAGGAGG
rnacentral:rRNA from 1 species